ACAAGGAGCAGUUCUGUGCCACAGAUGCCAUCUUGCACCGUGCCCCCCAGCUGCUGAUCACUUCCCACGGCGGCCAUCUUGAAGAGCAGAGAAAUGUUGCCGGCACUGAAGCUCCUCUGCGCUUGUCUGCUCUGCAGCGCCGCAGGUACUCAGAAGGGGGUCUGGCAGACGUCACGGUUGACGGUCAAGACUGGUCACUCCGGCUGCAUGCACUGCCGCCACCACCUCGACGCCAUCUACUUCUUCAUGUUCUGGUACCGACAGUCACCCGGGGCGGGUUUACAGCACAUCGCCGUCAGCGCACCCUUCAUGAACCAAACAGAAUUCCAUGGAGAUUCCAGCCCGGACAAGUACACCAUCUCCCAGGUGGAGGCCGAGCAAGGCUCCCUCAGGGUGGAAAAGGUGCAGCCGGGCGACGCCGGAGUGUAUUUCUGUGCCGUUGGAAAGCUUCACCCCUACUUUGGCCAGGGUACCAAACUGACCGUUCUUGAAGCUGAGCGAGUUCCGACGCCCCCCAAGGUGACCUUGCUGAAACCUUGGGCAGAGGAGUGCGGCCAGCAGGGGAAGAAGAAGAAGAAGAAGAAGAAGACUUUGGUGUGCGUGGCCACGGGCUUCUACCCAGACCACGUCAGCGUGGUGUGGCAGGUCAACCAGGUGCAGGAGGACACAGGUGUGGCCACGGACGGGCGGGCCCUGCGAAGCGGGGACUACUACAACAUCAGCAGCAGGCUGAGGGUCCCGAGCAGCCGCUGGUUGGACUCCCAAACCACCUUCAAGUGCGUGGUCCACUUCUUCGACGGGAAGGAAAGAGUGGAGUAUGCGGCGGAGGUGAGAGGAGAAAAAGGCGGGGAGCAGGAAGACGCCAUGACGCGAGACAACUUCCUGAAGAUCUGGCAGAGCGCCAAACUCUCCUACGCCGUCCUCAUCGCCAAGAGCUGCGUCUACGCCGCCUUCCUACUCUUCCUGCUCUGCAGGCUGACGGUCUCCUCGGGGAAAAGUGACUAACUUCCAUUGUUGUCUUCUUCAUUGUGUGCUUCAUUAUUGUCUUCUUCAUUGUGUGCUUCAUUGUUGUCUUCUUCAUUGUGUGCUUCAUUAUUGUCCUGCGUCUUCCUAAGUGCUUUUCACAAUAAAAGUCUCAUCCAAAUAA